AACACAUGCAAGUCGACGAACUGAUCUUCGGGAGUGAAAGUUAAGUGGCGGACGGGUGGAGUAAUGUAUGAGCAAUCUGCCCGUUUCCUAUCGGGAGUAACGAAUAGGGAAACGUUAAUGCUGAUACCGAAUAUGACCACGGUAUCGCAUGGUACUGCGGUGAAAGCUCCGGCGGAAAAGGAAUGAGCUCAUAUCCUAUUAGUUAGUUGGUGAGAUAACAGCCCACCUAGACAGCGAUGGGUAGCCGAGCUGAGAGGCUGAUCGGCCACAUUGGGACUGAAACACGGCCCAGACUUCUACGGAAGGCAGCAGUGGGGAAUAUUGGUCAAUGGAGGCAACUCUGAACCAAGCAAUGCCGCGUGAGUGAUGAAAAUCUUACGAUUGUAAAGCUCUAAACUUAGAGACGAUAAUGACGGUAUCUAAGGAUAAGCCCGGCUAACUACGUGCCAGCCGCUGC
rnacentral:rRNA from 1 species